rnacentral:siRNA from 1 species
UCGUUGGCUAAGUCCGUUCGG